CAUGUGGAACAAAAAGUCCAGGUCUGAUAUAAUGAAGAGCCACAUUAGAAAAACAGAAAUUAGAGUAAAGAAUUAAUUUCAAUCAUGCAUGCAGAUUGGGACAUGAAACUCAAUAUUUGCCAUGAUCAAGUAAUUUGACAUAGCAUAAUAACAAGAUGAUAAAGAUGUUUUCAACUAAAAGGAAUACUCUAGGACAAGUGCUUCACAAGAAAAAAAAGGAAGUAUAACUACUACUACUGCUACCACUACUACUACUUUCUUUACACCUGAAAAAUCUAAAGUUAUUAAUAUUCAAAAUUAAAAUCAAGGUUUGAAUUAAAAUUAAAAUUAAAAAUAAGAUUGGCUUGAAGUUGAAAGUUAAAGUUUAAACUCAGAAUUUGAUUAAAUUUGAAUCAAAAUAGAAAUUGAAACUACAAGAUAAAUUUGAUUAAACUCUGAAAUUAAAAAAGUAAAUGCCAAAGCUG
rnacentral:misc_RNA from 1 species